GCGGCAAUAGCUCAGUGGUAGAGCCCCGCUUUGUGUGCGGAGAGACCCGGGUUCGAUUCCAGGCUGCUUCC
rnacentral:tRNA from 1 species